rnacentral:lncRNA from 1 species
GAUCAGAAAGCUUGUGAAUAUAAAAUAUAAGAUGAAAAAUUCAGUUGCUAAGUAUUUGAGUAGAUUUCAGGAUAUAGUAAAUCAGUUGACUAUUAUGAAAAUAAUUCUAGAUGAUGAGUUGCAAGUAUUGCUAUUACUCAGCUCCUUACAUGAUAGUUGAGAAACUCUAGUUGUAGUACUAAGUAAUUCAGCUCCAAUGGUGUGGUAACAUUGGGAAUAAUAAAGGAUAGUAUACUUAAUGAAGAGAUCAAAAAAAGAGAACAGGUUAUGACUAUAUAAUCAAAGGUAUUAGUUGUGGAA